rnacentral:rRNA from 1 species
GACGAACGCUGGCGGCGUGCUUAACACAUGCAAGUCGAGCGGUAAGGCCCUUUCGGGGGUACACGAGCGGCGAACGGGUGAGUAACACGUGGGUGACCUGCCCUCAGCUCUGGGAUAAGCCCGGGAAACUGGGUCUAAUACCGGAUAUGACUCCAUGACGCAUGUUGUGGGGUGGAAAGCCUUGUGCGGCUGGAGAUGGGCCCGCGGCCUAUCAGCUUGUUGGUGGGGUGAUGGCCACCAAGGCGACGACGGGUAGCCGGCCUGAGAGGGCGACCGGCCACACUGGGACUGAGACACGGCCCAGACUCCUACGGGAGGCAGCAGUGGGGAAUAUUGGACAAUGGGCGAAAGCCUGAUCCAGCGAUGCCGCGUGUGUGAAGAAGGCCUGCGGGUU